GUAAAAGAAGAAGAAGAAGAAGCGGAAAAAAGUGCGAGAGAGAGCGUGAGAAAAAUAAAAAAAAUAAAAAUCUAUUGGGAGCGGUUUCGCGUCGCUCACUUCAAAGACCUGGCUCUCCUCACUAUUUCCCCUGUUUAAAGGAAAUUGAGGGUCAGGUGUAUGUCGGAGAGGUGAAGGAGAAAGAGAAAGCUAAGAAACAGUAGGAGAAGGCUGUUUCCUCUGGACAGACUGCUGGACUCGUCAAGGCUUCUGGAAGAAAGCACUGUAGUUUUCAGUCUCUGUCAAUAUGGUUGGGGAAGCCUGCAGUCAGCUGUGACUGAAGAAGUCACUUGGAUGAGUGAUGAAACGUUUCUCCCACUGAAAACGUCCAGAUGAACAGAACCAACUUUUUCAGAUUUCUUUCUUGAACUUGAAACCAUGGAUGUCGAUUUUAUUGUCACUUUGCUAAGUGUUUAAAUAAGUGUCCAUGGAUGUCGAUUUUAUUGUCACUUUGCUAAGUGUUUAAAUAAGUGUCGAUUGGAUUCACUCUCCCAAACAUCCACAAACUAGCAAAUAUUAUCUUUGUGGUUCACAGCACCUCACAGCCUCCUGGACACUGAGCUCAGGGCAGCUGGUCAAUAUAGGAAAACACACAGAUACGUGUCCCUCCCACAGGACACUGAGAGUUUUGCUCUGCACUGAAGUCAGCCAGUGUUCAGUCAGAGUUUGGUCAUGUCUGGACUGUUGGGUGUUCGCCUGCUGCUGCUGUGGGGCUGCGCCUGCCUCUGGCUGAGCAGCUCAGCCUCAGGAGCUCUGGUCAUCUCCAGGCACGAUGAAGCCAUACAGGAAAGAAGAGGAGCUGCCAGAUCACUGCAGAAAAGAAGUACAAAUGAAGCAAUGGUAAGAAAUGUAUCCAUUCAUAUUCCUGGUGAUGAUAAUGGUGAUGGGAGAUAAUUGAUUUAAUUCAGAUUAACAGAUCAGAUUCAUGGAGAGAAACCUGCUUGUUGUUCUCGAUGGGAUGUGUGGAUAAGCUCACAGGGACCUGAAGUGAUGGCUGCCAAAUAAACUGUGUGAUCAAAUUGUAGUGUCGGGGUUGCUGAUUAAUCUGUAAAGAUUUCUCCUGUCUUCUAUUACUUUCCCCAAAUGAGCAAACUCAUUAUAACAGCCUCUCAUUAGGGCUGUGCAAUAUGACCAAAAUCUCAUAUCCCGAUAUA